CCAUGCCAUCCCUUUGAAUUCCAUGGUAAAAAAUUAUGAAUUGCAUGUAAGAAUAAAGGGAUGCCAAGAGUUGGCGUCCUAUGGUGUCACCUAUCCUUUUCUAUUUAAAGGGGGCACUGCACCUGGUUUCUACAUGCCAAUUUGGGCUAUAGUUGGGCAUGGAAAUGAGAAGAAAAUAAUGAGAAAAAUCUAAGAAAAAGAUAAGAAAAAAGAGAGAGAAAAAUAGAAAGGAAGGA
rnacentral:lncRNA from 1 species